ACACGUCUGUAGUCCCAGCUGCUCAAGAGGCUGAGGCACGAGAAUCGCUUGAACAUGGAAGCAGAGGUUGCAGUGAGCUGAGCUGGCGUCACUACACUUCAGCCUGGGUGACCAAGUGAGACUCUGUCUCAAAAAAAAAAAAAAACCUAGGCAACAGAGCAAGAUUCUGAGAAGAAGAAGAAAGAAGAAAGAUCGAAGAAGGAAGAAGAAAGAAGGAAAGGAAGAACAAGAGGAAUUAAAUCUGCUCAUCCUUUGGCUUCAUUACUAUCUGGCAUGAGAUGGGAUAGUUCCCUUGACCCUGACCCCCUUCGUGGGCGGGCAGGAACUGGAGUGGUUGGUUUCACUCAGCCUGCAGCCCUUGGAUGGCUAAGUGUUAACAGCUAAGUGAAGGGUCAGGGUGACAGCCUCCUGCACCUGCCUUUUUGACACCCAAGUUCUUUUUCAGUGUGCAGUAAGAAUCAGAUCACACGGACUGUUUGAAGACUGGCUCUCAGCGGCAUGUGGAGCUGGAAAGGGGAUGGUACAGGAAGAAGGUGAUCUUUCCCUGAAGCCGCACCAUCUGAAGUUAGCUACAUCUAUUUGUAGUCUCCAAUGCUCAGUUGCUUGCUUCUCUGCUUGCUGCUCAGCUGCUUGUAUCCUGAGGCUCAGCAGCUUGCGUUCCAGACCACUUGCAUCGGCUGCUCAUGUUGCUCUUUCUUUUUUCUGCCAACUGAUCUGGUUUUUACGGACACAGGGUAGGGGGUGGAGUGGGCCAAAAAGGCAAUCAUUUGGGCGGAAAAAAUGGGGUCAGCUGUUUUCGCUUAGGGCAGAGGUUCCAGGCUUAAGACUGGAGUUUAGCCAGGAAGAGGUCCUGAGAACAUUUGCCCACGGUGGUCGGGGCACAGCUUGGUUUUAUACAUUUUAGAGAGGCAUGAGACAUCAAUCAAAUACAUUUAAGAAAUACAUUGGUUUGGUCCAGAAAGGUGGAACAACUCAAACCAGGGCAGGGCUUCCAGACUAUAGGUGAAUUUAAACAUUUUCUGGUUGACAAUUCGUUGUUUGUCUAAAGACCUGGGAUUGAUAGAGAGGGAAUGUUCAGGUUAAGAUAAAGAUUGUGGAGACCAAAGUUAUUUUGAAGUCUUAUAGUGGCUGCCCUUAGAGGCAAUAGAUGACAAAUGUUUCCUAUUCAGAUUUAGUUAAUCUCUUUAGGUUAUUUUUGCCUGGGUUUACUGGUCAGACAGAAAUGUAUUUUAGGGUAAAAUAUUUUGACCUUCUUUGUCUCGUAAUGUUAUGCAGAGUCAGGUUGGAAAGUACAUCACAAUAUUUUUGCCUGGAUUUACUGGUCAGACAGAUGUAUGUUCUCUCUGCUACAUGUUUUAAAGUUAUACUACUGCUGCUUCUUAAUAUUUUUUGAUACUUGUUUGAUUUGACUGUGAGCUUACGAUUUUGGUUUUGAGCCUCUGGAUUCUGGGGUCUGGAUGAGUGGUCAUGGUGAAACUGCCUUUGCAAAAUAUGACAGUAAGAGACCAGGCGUGGUGGCUCAUGUAAUCCCAACACUCUGGGAGGCCAAGGCAGGUGGAUCACUUGAGGCCAGGAGUUUGAGACCAGCCUGGCCAACAUGGCGAAACCCAGUCUCUCAUGAAAAUACAAAAAUUAGGCCAGGCACGGUGGCUCACACCUGUAAUCCCAGCACUUUGAGAGGCCGAGGCCGGUGGAUCACAAGGUCAGGAGUUCAAGACCAGCCUGACCAACAUGGUGAAACCCCGUCUCUACUAAAAAUACAAAAAUUAGCCAAGCAUGGUAGUGCACGCCUGUAAUCCCAGCUACUCAGGAGGCUGAGGCAGGAGAAUUGCUUGAACCCGGGAGGCGGAGGUUGCAGUGAGCCGAGAUUGCGCCAUUGCACUCCAGCCUGGGUGACAGAGCGAGACUCCAUCUCAAAAAAAAAAAAAAAAAAAAAAUUUAGCCAGAUAUGGUGGUGCAUGCCUGUGGUCCCAGCUAUUCAGGAGGCUGAGGCAGGAGAAUUGCUUGAGCCCAGGAGGCAGAGAUUGCACUGGGCCAAGAUCAUGCCACUGCACUCCAGCCUGGGUGAUAGAGUGAGACUCCAUGUCAAAAAAAAAAUAUGACAGUAAGAUAAAUCUGGCAUAGUUGACUCUAUCUUCCUUCUGUCCUCCAAGCUGUCCUUGGUCAUUUCUGGGCAUAGGCCAAACUAACUUUGGGGCGAAUUUAGUUUACAGUUUAAAGAAAGGAUGACAAUAGUCCCUCCCUAAAACUUACCCACUCGUUGCUCAGUGACUGAAACCUACCUUUUUAAGAUUAAUAAAAGGGCACAAGAACAGUAUCAUGGGAAGGGCUUGAAUUCUGCUAAGAUAGAGGCAUAGUUUCUUUUGUUUUGCUUUAGAGACAGAGUCUUGCUCUGUUGCUCAGGCUGGAGUGUAGUGGUGCAAUCAUAGCUCACUUUAAUCUUGAACUCCUAGGCUUAACUGAUCCUCCCACCUUAGCCUCCCAAGUAGUUGGGACUAUAAAUGCAUACCACCAUGCCUUACUAAUUUUUUUAUUUUUUAAUUUUUGUAGAGCCAAGUGUGUUAGGCUGUUCUUGCAUUGCUAUAAUGAAAAACCAAAGACUAGGUAAUUUAUAAAGAAAAGAGGUUUAAUUGGCUCAUGGUUCUGCAGGCUGUACAGGACGCAUAGUGCUGGCCUCUACUCAGCUUCUGAGGAGGCCUCAGGGAGUUUUCACUUGAUGAAAGCAGGAGCAAGAGAGAGUGGGGAGGGAGGUGCUGUGUAUACUUUUAAACAAUCAGAUUACACGAGAACUCACUCAUUAUCAUAAGGACUCCAGCAAGGCAUGAGGGAUCUGCCUCCCUAACCCAAACAUCUCCCACCAGGCCCCGCCUCCAAAAUUGUGGAUUACAUUUCAAAAUGAGAUUUAGUGGGAACAUAUAUCCAAACCAUAUCACCAGGGUCUCACAUUGUUUCCCAGGUUUGUAGGUGUGAUUUCAAUAAGCCCUUACUGCUUAGGAGUCAUGUGGCCAGAAGGCACAAGAUUUGUAACUUCCCCAAUUGCUCCUAUAGAAAACAUUAGUAUUGUAGAACCUAAGGUUGGUUUUCUUUAGAUAUCUUUCAGACUGACCCCACCUAGACUCAUGACUUAUGACUCAGCUGAUCCUGUGGCCCCUCCCAGAAGCAGACUCAGAGCAAGAGGAUGAUUUUCCACACACCUAUGAUUUCAUCUCCAGCCAAUCAGCAGCACCCAUUCCCUAGCCCCCUGACCACCAAAUUGUCCAUAAAAUCCCCUAACCUUCAAACCUUCAGGGAGACUGAUUUGACUGAUAACUCCAGUCAAAUGGGCCAGCCUUGCAUCAAUUAAACUUUUUGUCUACUGCAA